rnacentral:rRNA from 1 species
UAACGGCGAGUGAAGCGGCAAAAGCUCAAAUUUGAAAUCUGGUACCUUCGGUGCCCGAGUUGUAAUUUGGAGAGGGCAACUUUGGGGCCGUUCCUUGUCUAUGUUCCUUGGAACAGGACGUCAUAGAGGGUGAGAAUCCCGUGUGGCGAGGAGUGCGGUUCUUUGUAAAGUGCCUUCGAAGAGUCGAGUUGUUUGGGAAUGCAGCUCUAAGUGGGUGGUAAAUUCCAUCUAAAGCUAAAUAUUGGCGAGAGACCGAUAGCGAACAAGUACAGUGAUGGAAAGAUGAAAAGAACUUUGAAAAGAGAGUGAAAAAGUACGUGAAAUUGUUGAAAGGGAAGGGCAUUUGAUCAGACAUGGUGUUUUGUGCCCUCUGCUCCUUGUGGGUAGGGGAAUCUCGCAUUUCACUGGGCCAGCAUCAGUUUUGGUGGCAGGAUAAAUCCAUAGGAAUGUAGCUUGCCUCGGUAAGUAUUAUAGCCUGUGGGAAUACUGCCAGCUGGGACUGAGGACUGCGACGUAAGUCAAGGAUGCUGGCAUAAUGUUCAAAUG